GUGUUACUUUGGUAGCACAUAUACUAAAAUUGGAAUGAUACAGAGAAGAUUAGCAAGAUGUGUAAAUUCGUGAAGCAAAUACAACCUAAAUUUAU
rnacentral:snRNA from 1 species